rnacentral:rRNA from 1 species
UACGGAGGGUGCGAGCGUUAAUCGGAAUUACUGGGCGUAAAGCGUGCGUAGGCGGUUGAUUAAGUCAGAUGUGAAAGCCCCGGGCUUAACCUGGGAACUGCAUUUGAUACUGGUUAACUUGAGUUUAGGAGAGGAGAGUGGAAUUUCCGGUGUAGCGGUGAAAUGCGUAGAGAUCGGAAGGAACACCAGUGGCGAAGGCGGCUCUCUGGCCUAAAACUGACGCUGAGGUACGAAAGCGGGGGUAG